AAUUCCCACUUUUUUCUCUAAAUAUUAUUUCCCUCACGCCUUUCUCCAAAUUCUGGAGAAAAAAGUUUCCCCUCUCAAGAAGAUAAACUAAUCCUACCAAAACAAAUCUCCCACGUACAUAAGGAAAACAUUACUAAAAACAUCUCCCAAUCACAUAAGGAGUCCUCAAUUAAUAUAUCACAAAAGCACAUCCAGGAGCUGUAACUCGAUCACAACAGCGACACCAGAAAUAACAAAGUUUUCAGGGAUCAGUGUUUCUCCAUAUUCAUCUCCACGUGGCUAGUUCAAUUAGUUGAAGGCUACUAUUUUGACCGGUGUUGCUCCACAUUCACCUCAGAGUGGGUAGUUGAAUUCGUUGAAGGUUACUAUUUUGGGUGAGCUUGGGAUAUGUCUUAACCCCCACCAAGUCUUUUAGUAGAGGUCCAGGUACGGAUUUUGAUCGACCCCUCUGCUAGGAUUUGGGGUUCAACUGUGAUUUGGGUCAGUGAUGUUUCGUAGGUAAAAAUGAAAAUGAGUCUCCAGAAGCUUCUACUAUUCCUUCCUUAUGGUGGUAGUUGUGUCUUUUUUUAUUCAUAAAUUUUACUCUUAGAUGCUCUUGUACUUGUUUAGACUAGUAUC